CCUACGGGGGGCUGCAGUGGGGAAUAUUGGACAAUGGGCGAAAGCCUGAUCCAGCCAUGCCGCGUGUGUGAAGAAGGCCUUCGGGUUGUAAAGCACUUUCAGUGGGGAAGAAAGCCUUGGGGCUAAUACCCUCGAGGAAGGACAUCACCCACAGAAGAAGCACGGGCUAACUCCGUGCCAGCAGCCGCGGUAAUACGGAGGGUGCGAGCGUUAAUCGGAAUUAAUGGGCGUAAAGCGCGCGUAGGCGGUCUGAUAAGCCGGUUGUGAAAGCCCCGGGCUCAACCUGGGAACGGCAUCCGGAACUGUCAGGCUAGAGUGCAGGAGAGGAAGGUAGAAUUCCCGGUGUAGCGGUGAAAUGCGUAGAGAUCGGGAGGAAUACCAGUGGCGAAGGCGGCCUUCUGGACUGACACUGACGCUGAGGUGCGAAAGCGUGGGUAGCAAACAGGAUUAGAUACCCCAGUAGUC
rnacentral:rRNA from 1 species